GUUUCUCGGAAAAGUAAAUAUAUUUCCCCGAUUCGAAUCCUGGUUCGGGUAUUCUUGGCGGGUCGGGUCAAAUUCCGGGUCAGUAAGGUGACGAGGAUGCUGAUGUUUUUGCAAGUGAAAGUCUCUUCCGCUAAAUUGGGAGGGAAAGAGAAGAGAGAGACGAAGACAAUGGCGUCCACAGGAAUGGCGAAAUCGAAGGGGACUUUCUGUAUCACACUCUCUCUUCAGAAAUCUAUCAUACGCCACCAGAAAGAGAAAAACAAAAUAUUCAUUUGUUUUUCAAACUUUGCGUUUGAAUCCAGAAGAACAAUCGAUCAUUCGUCUAAUAGCUCCGUUGAUCCAAAUUGCUCAAGAGGGAGCUAUAUCUACAGGGUUCAUACGGGAUGGCUGAAAACAUAAUGGUGGAUUCUCAUGUAUGGGUGGAAGACCCAGAAGUGGCAUGGAUUCAUGGAGUUGUUGUUGAUAUUAAGGCUCACCAAGCUACUGUUAAAACCAAUGAUGACCGAGAGGUUAUAGCUAAUUUAUCAAAACUCUAUAUAAAAGACGAUGAAGCUCCUUCAGAGGGAGUGGAGGACAUGACACGAUUAUCUUAUCUGCAUGAGCCUGCAGUGCUCGAGAACUUGGCUACCAGAUAUGGGCUCAAUGAAAUUUAUACUUAUACAGGAAACAUUCUUAUUGCUGUCAAUCCCUUUCAAGGACUUCCCCAUCUUUACGAUGCUGACGUGAUGGAAAAGUACAAGGAAGCCUCCUUCAAAGAGUUGAGCCCUCAUGUUUUUGCAAUUGGUGGCAUUGCUUAUAGGGAAAUGAUCAAUGAGGGCAGGAAUAAAUGUAUACUGGUUAGUGGUGAAAGUGGGUCUGGAAAGACAGAAACGACUAAGGUGCUCAUGCGUUAUCUUGCAUACUUUGGAGGGCAUACUGCAGGUGAAGGAAGGACGGUUGAAAACCAAGUUUUAGAAUCAAAUCCAGUUCUUGAGGCAUUUGGUAAUGCAAAGACUGUUAAGAACAACAAUUCCAGUCGUUUUGGGAAGUUUGUGGAGAUUCAAUUUGAUGACAUUGGUCGAAUAUCUGGGGCAGCCAUCAGAACCUACCUCUUGGAGAGGUCUCGUGUUUGCCAAGUUUCAGAUCCUGAACGUAACUAUCACUGCUUUUACCUCCUGUGUGCUGCACCUCCAGAGGAUGUUGAGAGAUUUAAAUUGGGGGAUCCUAAGUCAUUUCGCUAUCUUAACCAAUCUAGCUGCUUCGAACUUGAUGGUGUAAAUGAUGCAGAGGAGUAUCUUGCUACUAGAAAAGCUAUGGAUGUAGUUGGAAUAAGUGAACAAGAACAGGAUGCAAUUUUCAGAGUUGUUGCUGCCAUUCUCCAUCUUGGAAAUAUUGAAUUUUGCAAAGGAGAAGAUGCUGAUUCAUCAUCUCUAAAAGAUGAACAGUCAAAGUUUCAUCUCCAGAUGACGUCAGAAUUGCUCAUGUGUGAUUCCCAUUCCUUAGAAGAUGCUUUGUGUAAGCGUAUUAUGGUGACCCCAGAAGAAGUUAUCAAAAGAAGUCUUGAUCCUCUUGGCGCUGCCGUUAGUAGGGAUGGUUUAGCAAAGACAAUAUACUCUAGACUCUUUGAUUGGUUGGUGAACAAAAUAAAUAUCUCUAUCGGCCAAGAUUCUAACUCUAGGCGCUUGAUCGGAGUCCUUGACAUUUAUGGUUUUGAGAGCUUUAAAGCCAACAGUUUUGAACAAUUCUGUAUUAAUUACACGAAUGAAAAGCUGCAACAGCAUUUCAACCAGCAUGUAUUCAAAAUGGAACAAGGUGAGUAUGAGAAAGAAGAAAUAGAUUGGAGCUACGUGGAGUUUGUUGAUAAUCAAGAAGUCGUGGAUCUUAUUGAAAAGAAGCCCGGUGGUAUUAUUGCUCUUCUAGAUGAAGCAUGCAUGCUACCCAAAUCAACUCCUGAAACAUUUUCUGAGAAGCUGUAUCAAACAUUCAGGGAUCAUAAGCGCUUCAUAAAACCAAAAUUGACGCGAUCAGAUUUUACAUUAGUUCAUUAUGCAGGGGAUGUACGAUACCAGUCCGAUCAAUUUUUAGACAAAAACAAAGACUAUGUUGUUGCCGAGCAUCAAGACAUGUUAAAUGCUUCCAAAUGUUCUUUUGUGUCAGGCCUUUUUCCUCCUCUUCCUAAAGAGAGUAGCAAAUCUAAGUUUUCCUCCAUUGGCGCUCGUUUCAAGCUACAAUUGCAACAGCUGAUGGAGACACUAAACUAUACGGAACCGCACUACAUCAGAUGUGUGAAGCCAAACAAUUUGUUGCAGCCAACGGUGUUUGACAAUGCCAAUGUCUUGCAUCAGUUACGCUCUGGGGGUGUUCUUGAAGCCAUUAGAGUGAAAUGCGCUGGAUAUCCAACAAAUAGGACUUUCAUCGAAUUCUUAAAUCGAUUUAUCAUUCUUGCACCGGAGAUUCUGAAAGGAGAGUACGAAGCAGAUGUUGCAUGCAAGUGGAUUUUGGAGAAAAAGGGGCUAACAGGUUACCAGAUUGGAAAAAGUAAAGUUUUCCUGAGAGCUGGUCAGAUGGCUGAGCUAGAUGCACACAGAACGAGAGUGCUCGGCGAAGCAGCGAGGAUGAUUCAAGGAAAAGUUAGAACCCGUCUAACAAGAGAACGAUAUGUUCUCAUGCAGAGGGCUUCAGUUCAAAUACAGGCUAAUUGGAGAAGAAAUAUUGCAGGAAACAUAUGCAGGCACAUGAGAAGGGAGGAAGCUGCCAUCAAAAUUCAGAAAAACUUACGUAGACAGGUUGCAAAGAAAGAGUAUGGAAAGACCAAAUCUUCGGCAGUCGCCUUGCAAAGUGGAGUCCGGACGAUGGUUGCACGCCACGAAUUCCGUUUUAAGUUGAAGUCUAAGGCAGCAACUGUGAUCCAGGCGUACUGGCGUGGUUACAGUGCUAUAUCUGACUACAAGAAACUGAAAAAAGCUUCUCUGGUUUAUCAAAAUAGACUCAGAGGAAGAAUUGCCAGAAAACAGUUGGGACAGUCAAAUCAGGCUGACAAAAAGAAAGAGACAGAACAUGAAAGAGAGGUGGAACUUUCCAAUCAAGUGGAAGAGGCAGUUGAUAUGUCCUGUGUACUGCAUUCAGAGCCAAGUGAUGAUGCGGAGACUGGAGACGAACAAUAUCCAAAAAUCUUCAUCCGAGCAGAUAGUGGACUCGAUAAGUCAUUUGUAAUGCCUUCAGAGCAAAGUGGUGAUGAAGAGAUAGAACAUGAAAGACAGACAAAACAUUCCAUCCUAACAGAAGAUGGAACUGAAAAGUCCAUUGUUCUCGAAUCAGAGAAACCUUACAACAACUUUUCUGUUGUAAGCCACAUAACGAAUCCUAUUCGUGAUACAGAAGUUGAGUCCCUCACUGCCGAAGUUGAGAUGUUGAAGGCCUUGUUGGUAGUUGAGAAACAAAGAGCUGACAUUUCCGAAAGAAAAUGUGCUGAAGCCAGAGAACUUGGUGAGAGAAGACGCAAAAGAUUAGAAGAAACAGAAAGAAGAGUUUACCAACUACAGGACUCUUUGAACAGUGUAUUCCAGGUUGUUAUAUUCUAUGUCGGACCAAUUCUCGCAACUGAAGUCCAUCUUAAGAUCUCCAUCUAUGUCUUCAACGAUGGCUUCAGUGCCAGUUGUACGUGAUGAUCUUGCUGACAGCUCUGAGAACUCUGAAGCUUCAUCAAGUGAUUCUGAUUUCACUUUUCCGGCUCCAUCUACUUCUUCUGCAGAUAAUUCAAAUCUUCAAGUCAUUGUUCAAGAUCUAUCAACCACAGAAGCCAAAGGAACAGAGAAUGAUAAGGAAAGGGGCUUUGAAGAUUACUUUUGAUGAUGAAGCACCUAUUUGAUCUCUUCAUUGUUGUGUCAGAUGGAAAUUGUUUAGUGUUUACAAGUAGUUCAAACUCCAACUGUAGUUUUUUCAUGAUUAGAUGCUGCAAUAACUGUGUAGAGUCGUCAAGAUAUGUCAGGUUCUGUGUUUAAAUGCAUACAACAGCUAUGUUUGUUCUUCAGCUAAUACAAUUGCUACUUUUUUUCUUC